rnacentral:lncRNA from 1 species
AUCAAUGUAGCAGUCUUCACCGGUGACUAGAAGCCAAUCCGACUAGCCUGAGAAGGGCCGCCACUCUCACAUAUUUUCUUUGCACAUGAUUUUGUUCUUUUUGGAGAGGCGUCAUGAAGACAGGCUUCAGUAAUGAUUCAGUGCUUGUAUACCUUCUCCUUUGCUUCUGGAUAGUCUGUGAGUAAGGAAAAAUCAGUGGUUUUCUUUUCACAAACGGUUCCUAGGCCAGAAAAUAUUUGGGCAUUCCAGUUCUACAUGAAAGGAUCACGAACGCAACAUACCAGGAAAUCCUAUACAGGUUAGAUCAGAAGUUAGCUGGCUGGAAGGCAUCCUCUCUCUCACUUGCUGGUAGAGUAACUCUUGCCCAGUCUAUUUUAUCUGAUAUCCUAACCUAUGUUAUGCAAACCACUGUGCUUCCUAGUCAUGUCUAUAGUGAAAUUGAUAAGCGCAUUAUGAGUUUUUUUUUGGGGCACCACAACUGAAGCAAGGAAGAGACAUCUUGUCUCUUGGGAGAAGAUUUUCCCAUAAAAACAUAGCAGUGGGCUCUGCCUGCGAUUGACUCGUCAACUCAAUCAAGCUUAUAUGAUCAAACUGGGUUUUCGUUUCCUUGCAAAACAAGAUGAUUUGUGGGUGCAGGUAGUACAUACCAAAUAUAAUAAACAUGUGGAGGGUGGCUUUCGCCAGAGACAUUCCUUCUCGAAGUGGAUCUUAUGGCGAGGAAUCUGGGCAGCUAUGCCCCAUGUUGCAAUGGGUGUGCGAGAUGGGUCAAAUACUUCAUUAUGGACUGGUCAUUGGAUCGAUAUCGGAACCCGCCUUAUCGACUUUAUCCUACCUUCAGUGGCUGACACGGACGUUGGAGCACCGGCUUCCGCCUUCUGUACGUCCUCAGGUGAGUGGGAUUUCCCACAUAUUCGUUACAUAGUCUCUGAGUAUAUGGUUUUCGUGUUGCUGCAAUGUCACCCCCACGGUCGGGAAGCAAGUGAGGACACCAUCUGUUGGGCUUGGAAAAAGGAUGGGAGGUUCUGGAUUCUCUCAGCUUAUGUGCUUCUUGACGAGGGCGAGGAUCUGGUGGACCCCCCUGACUGGCGCAUUGUCUGGAGCUGGCGCAGCCCUAACCGAAUUAAACAUUUUCUUUGGUUAGUUUCUCAUGACAGAUUGCUAACGAAGGAGGUAAGGAGACACAAACACCUAGUGACGGAUGGAGCUUGUGCAUGCUGCCAACACCCGAUGGAAACAAUCUUACAUAUGUUUCGGGACUGUCCCUUCGUGGUUACCACCUGGGAGCGACUUGCCUUCCUUUCUGAAGAUCAAACGAACUGGGAUUCCUCACUUCUGCCUUGGAUCACACACCACUUGAAGGCGUCGAGCACUAGCCUUCUGUUUGGGGUUGCUUGCUCGUCUCUUUGGAAGGCUAGAAAUGAAACCAUAUUUACUGAAACUAGCACCACUCCCGAGGCUCUUGCACAGCGUAUCAUAUCAUGGGCCGAGAAAAUUGUGGAGGCCUUUAUACGUGACCAGUCCACUCAUACUGGUUCACCCACCAAGACGGUGUUGGAUGUCUCUUGGCCGUCACCACCACCAGAGUGGGUUGCUCUUAACUCUGACGGGUCCAUUAUUUUUUAGACCGGAAAAGCUGCAGCAGGAGGCUUAUUCCGUGAUUCUGAUGGUCGCUAUUUAGCGUCAUAUUCAAUGAACCUGGGGAUCAAGUCGAUAACUAGGGUUGAGUUGAGAGUUAGUGUGCAAGGGUUACAGCUGGCUUGGGAGUUUGGGUACAUAUAGGUACGGCCGCAACUGGAUUCACAAGCUGCGAUCCAACAUCCGCUAGCAGAGGGUGAGAGCACCCAUCAACACUCUUCUGAAGUCGCUCAGUUAUGUGAUCUUUUGGAUCAUGACUGGACUAUCAAAGUUGAGCACAUAUAUCGGGAAGGCAACCGAGCAGCUGACUAUCUAGCUGCUCUAGGUCAUAGCUUAUCUAUUGGUGUUCAUUCAAUUCCCAUUAGUGUUGCGUAGGUUUUACCCAAAAAAAAGUUUAACCACUAUAUUACUCGACUAUUCCAUAGAAGUGGUUACUUUUUUAUUAUAAUUAGUGGUUACUUUAUUAUUGUAAACAUAUUUAUCAUCCAAAAUUGUGGAGUUCGUGUUAAGCAUAUAUGUAUAUUUAGAAGACAAUUAUGUGACACACUAGAUAGCUGGAGAGCUUUAGAGUUAUCGUUGUGGAUGCAUAUGAUUUUGAUUUGUAAUGGGAAGCUUCAGUUAUGAACUCUUUAAUUACGAUAGUUUGAAUUGAGUCUCGAUUGACUCAAAUAUAUAUAGU